UCAGAUGAACGCGGCGGCAGGCCUAACACAUGCAAGUCGAACGGUAGCACAGAGAGCUUGCUCUCGGGUGACGAGUGGCGGACGGGUGAGUAAUGUCUGGGAAACUGCCUGAUGGAGGGGGAUAACUACUGGAAACGGUAGCUAAUACCGCAUAACGUCGCAAGACCAAAGAGGGGGACCUUCGGGCCUCUUGCCAUCAGAUGUGCCCAGAUGGGAUUAGCUAGUAGGUGGGGUAACGGCUCACCUAGGCGACGAUCCCUAGCUGGUCUGAGAGGAUGACCAGCCACACUGGAACUGAGACACGGUCCAGACUCCUACGGGAGGCAGCAGUGGGGAAUAUUGCACAAUGGGCGCAAGCCUGAUGCAGCCAUGCCGCGUGUAUGAAGAAGGCCUUCGGGUUGUAAAGUACUUUCAGCGGGGAGGAAGGUGUUGUGGUUAAUAACCACAGCAAUUGACGUUACCCGCAGAAGAAGCACCGGCUAACUCCGUGCCAGCAGCCGCGGUAAUACGGAGGGUGCAAGCGUUAAUCGGAAUUACUGGGCGUAAAGCGCACGCAGGCGGUCUGUCAAGUCGGAUGUGAAAUCCCCGGGCUCAACCUGGGAACUGCAUUCGAAACUGGCAGGCUAGAGUCUUGUAGAGGGGGGUAGAAUUCCAGGUGUAGCGGUGAAAUGCGUAGAGAUCUGGAGGAAUACCGGUGGCGAAGGCGGCCCCCUGGACAAAGACUGACGCUCAGGUGCGAAAGCGUGGGGAGCAAAAAGAUA
rnacentral:rRNA from 1 species